GAUGAACGCUGGCGGCGUGCCUAAUACAUGCAAGUCGAGCGAACAGACGAGGAGCUUGCUCCUCUGACGUUAGCGGCGGAAGGGUGAGUAACACGUGGAUAACCUACCUAUAAGACUGGGAUAACUUCGGGAAACCGGAGCUAAUACCGGAUAAUAUAUUGAACCGCAUGGUUCAAUAGUUAAAGACGGUUUUGCUGUCACUUAUAGAUGGAUCCGCGCCGCAUUAGCUAGUUGGUAAGGUAACGGCUUACCAAGGCAACGAUGCGUAGCCGACCUGAGAGGGUGAUCGGCCACACUGGAACUGAGACACGGUCCAGACUCCUACGGGAGGCAGCAGUAGGGAAUCUUCCGCAAUGGGCGAAAGCUUGACGGAGCAACGCCGCGUGAGUGAUGAAGGUCUUCGGAUCGUAAAACUCUGUUAUUAGGGAAGAACAAAUGUGUAAGUAACUAUGCACGUCUUGACGGUACCUAAUCAGAAAGCCACGGCUAACUACGUG
rnacentral:rRNA from 1 species